CGUGACCUACGGGGCGCAGCAGUAGGGAAUAUUGCUCAAUGGGGGAAACCCUGAAGCAGCAACGCCGCGUGGAGGAUGAAGGAUUUCGGAUUGUAAAGUCCUUUUGUUAGAGAAGAUAAUGACGGUAUCUAACGAAUAAGCACCGGCUAACUACGUGCAAGCAGCCGCGGUAAUACGGAGGGUGCAAGCGUUACUCGGAAUGACUGGGCGUAAAGAGAGCGUAGGCGGGAGAGCAAGUCAGAUGUGAAAUCUUAUGGGUUAAC
rnacentral:rRNA from 1 species